rnacentral:rRNA from 1 species
CACGUAGGGUGCGAGCGUUGUCCGGAAUUAUUGGGCGUAAAGGGCUCGUAGGCGGUUUGUCGCGUCGGGAGUGAAAUCCACUGGCUUAACUGGUGGCUUGCUUUCGAUACGGGCAGACUAGAGGUAUGCAGGGGAGAACGGAAUUCCUAGUGUAGCGGUGAAAUGCGCAGAUAUCAGGAGGAACACCAAUUGCGAAGGCAGCUCGCUGGGACGAUACUGACGCUGAGGCGCGAAAGCGUGGGGAGCAAACAGG